UACGAAGGGUGCAAGCGUUACUCGGAAUUACUGGGCGUAAAGCGUGCGUAGGCGGUUUGUUAAGUCCGCUGUGAAAGCCCUGGGCUCAACCUGGGAAUUGCAGUGGAUACUGGCAAGCUAGAGUGCGGUAGAGGAUGGUGGAAUUCCCGGUGUAGCGGUGAAAUGCGUAGAGAUCGGGAGGAACACCUGUGGCGAAGGCGGCCCCCUGGGCCGGCCCUGACGCUGAGACGCGAAGGCGCGGGGAGCGAACGGG
rnacentral:rRNA from 1 species